rnacentral:rRNA from 1 species
UACGGAAGGCAGCAGUGGGGAAUAUUGCACAAUGGGCGAAAGCCUGAUGCAGCUAUGCCGCGUGUAUGAAGAAGGCCUUAGGGUUGUAAAGUACUUUCAUCGGGGAGGAAAAAACAAAACUAAUAAUUUUAUUUCUUGACGUUACCCGAAAAAGAAGCACCGGCUAACUCCGUGCCAGCAGCCGCGGUAAUACGGAGGGUGCUAGCGUUAAUCAGAAUUACUGGGCGUAAAGAGCACGUAGGUGGUUUUUUUAAGUCAGAUGUGAAAUCCCUGGGCUUAACCUAGGAACUGCAUUUUGAAACUGAAAUACUAGAGUAUCGUAGAGGGAGGUAGAAUUCUAGGUGUAGCGGUGAAAUGCGUAGAUAUCUGGAGGAAUACCUGUGGCGAAAGCGGCCUCCUAAACGAAUACUGACACUGAGGUGCGAAAAGCGUGGGGAGCGAAACAGGGAUUAGGAUACC